rnacentral:rRNA from 1 species
GUGGGGAAUCUUCCGCAAUGGACGAAAGUCUGACGGAGCAACGCCGCGUGAGUGAAGAAGGUUUUCGGAUCGUAAAGCUCUUUCGUUAGGGACGAACGUGCUCUUUGUGAAUAAUGAGGAGUAAUGACGGUACCUAAAUAAGAAGCCACGGCUAACUACGUGCCAGCAGCCGCGGUAAUACGUAGGUGGCAAGCGUUGUCUGGAAUUAUUGGGCGUAACGAGCGCGCAGGAGGGAUAUCAAGUCUGUCGUAAAAGUGCGAGGCUCAACCUCGUGAGGGGACAGAAACUUGUAUGCAUGAGUGUCGGAGAGGAAAGUGGAAAUCCAAGUGUAGCGGUGAAAUGCGUAGAGAUUUGGAAGAACACCAGUGGCGAAGGCGACUUUCUGGACGAUGUCUGACGCUGAGGCGCGAAAGCUAGGGGAGCGAACGGGAUUAGAAACCCUUGUAGUCC